ensembl:lncRNA
CUGAACUAGUCCAUCCUGGGGAUCAAGGUCAGCACAGUGUUACAACAGAUCAUGACUACUGCUCAUUUCCUGAGCCGUCAGCAGAAGACCUGUCCAAAGACCUGGAGAGUCUGAAGAAGGAAAUACAGGAGUUACGUGUCCAGCGAGAGUUUGGGUUACAGCGGUUUGCUGGUUCCGACACUGACAUCCAAUUCUAUACCAGAUUUCCAAGCUAUAAUCAUUUGAUGGCAUUCUGGGUUUUGAUUGAGCCUUGCAUCUAUGAAAUGAUCCGGGCUUCAAGAGCCAAGUCAGCUGCCAACACGGACGAAGAAGUGUUGACACCUGCACGCACACAAACGAGGCAGCUGCUCCAGCCAGUCGACGAGUUCUUUCUUUUCCUGGUUUUCCUGUCUGUUGGUCUGAAGGAGAGGGACCUGGCUCAUCAAUUCA